GCGGCGGUGGCGGCAGCGCCUGUCCCUGCCUCUCCGCCACCUCCACCCCGGCCUAUCCCCCGGCCGGCGGCGUUGGCGGGGAGGGGGACAGUAGUUGUAGACGCCCGCCCCUGCCUCAGAGAAGCUUCCUGGUUGUUGCACGGUCUCACCAUUUGGGGAAAGUCCAUGCUAGAAAACUGAAGCAAUUAAUGGGGGAAUAUGAUCAGAUCUCUUCACCAAGUUCCCAGCCUGAUAAAGCCAUCCUUGUGGGCAUGAAGUAUCAAUUUCUAAACAUAAAAGUGGACAAAAUGGUAUAACGAACCCUCAUAUACCAGCAUCCAGCUUCAACAGUUAUCACCAUCUUUUUCAUCUUGCUAGUGACUUUGUAAAAGCAGCUUUAUUGAGAUAUAGUUAACAUACAAUAAACUGUACAUAUUUAAAAUACAAAAUUUGAGUUUUGACAGAUAUAUGUGUAUACCAUCAAAUGAUCAAUACAGUAAACAUAUCCAGACUCCAUAAUGUGCCUUUUAUAAUCAUCCCUCCCAUCCCUUCCUGUCUCAUCCCCAAGCAAACACUGUUACUGUAUGUUAGUUUGCAUUUGCUAGAGUUUUCUGUAGACGGAAUCAUAUGUUAUGUACUCUUUUGUCAGGCUUCUCUCAGCAUAAUUAUUUUGAGAUGCAUCGAUGUUGUUGACUCUAUCAAUAACCAAUAAUUCUUCCCUUGUUACCACUGAUAGUAUUUCACUGUAUGGAUGUACCACUAUUGAUAGUUCCAUUCACCUGUUGAUCAUCAUUUCUGUUUUUUUCCUUUCUGGGGCUAUUACAAAUAAAAUUACCAUAAAUAUUCAUGUAUCAUUCUUUGUAAGGACAUCUAUUUCCUUUUCUUUGGGGGACAUACUGAGGAAUGGAAUAACUAGAUCGUACAGUAGGUGUGUGUUUAACUUCCUCAGAAACCAGCAAACUGUUUGCUAGUGGUUGUACCAUUUUCUAUCCCUGACCAGCAGUGUGUGAGAAUUCUAGUUGUUCCGUAUCCUCACCAACUACACUGCUGGUGUCAUUCUUUUUAUCCCAGUCAUUCUAGUGAGUGCGUGGUGGAAUUGCAUUGUGGUUUUAAUUGACAUUGACUGUUGAUAUUUUUUCAUGUGUUCAUUGGCCCUUUGUAUAUAUUCCUUUCUGAAUUGUCUGUUCAAAUCUUUUGCCUAUAAUCAAAUAUUUGUUGCGUUAUUCUCGUUAGAAUUUUUGUACUAUUUAAGUUGAAUAGGAGUUAAAUUUUCUGAUUCACCAAAUUAGACUUCAUUUAGACUUUAUUUUUUGAUCUAAAAUUUCCAGAAAACGUAGCUGAUCAUUAGUGACUCUGGAGUGCUAUGUCAUGCUUCUUUCUUUCUGUUAAAGGGAAGAACAUUCUGUUCUCCGUGGGCAUGCCACCUCCUAAUUUUUAGAGACAAAGUAUAUCACCAAAACUACAUAGGACAUGAUCUUGUAGUAAGGAUGUUUUCUGCUACAUUUGUACUUAAUGCAGGAUUUGAGAUAGGGGAAAGAAAUCAGAAAUAGUGCUGCCCCCACCAAAAGAAUCAAACAAGCCAACAAAAAAUUAGUGUCUCUACUUUAAAUUUCUUCUAAAACUUUUCUCUGCAUCAGUCUGACCCCCUCUCCGCUUUCACCUCCAUUCCUCCCUUAACCCUCCCACCAGUACUUUAAUAGAGGACAAACCAGAAGACAUUCUAGAAUGCUUUUUUUUACCAAUCAGAAGUAAUGGAAUGAAAUCCAAGCCCUGGACAGAAGAUACAGAACUCUGUUCCCUCAUCUUCCCUCAUGCCCUAUACAAAAGAGUAGUUUCAUCUCGUAGCAGAAUUUCCAAUUUCCAGCAUUCCCAAACCAUUUUAUAAACAUCCUUUUAUUAUUAAGUCCUGUGGUACUCUAGUCAGGUAAGUAAGCAUAUUUAUUUUAUUUUGUUUGAGUAAACUGAAGAUUUUAAAAAUUACUUCUCUAUGAUUCUAUUACUUCUCUUAAAAAACAAUAUACAAGAAACUGAUUAGUCAGAACUUUAGGAAAACUAUGAAAACUGUCAGCCACCUAUCAGGGAUGUGUGGCCCUUAACCACACAUCCCUAUAUGCCUUACAUUUUUAGCCAUACAACAGAACCCUAUAUGUCAUCUGCUCUCUGCCCUCUUCAUCCCACUUCUGAGAAUGAUAAACCUACUUGUGAGUGGCCUGGGAGAUAUUUGACUAUCCUAAUGUACCAUUUUGGUGUAUAAUGUCAUGAUAUUUAACUUCUUUGCUGAAUUAGGUUUUAAUUUGUCUG